rnacentral:rRNA from 1 species
AACGUAGGAGACAAACGUUAUCCGGAUUUACUGGGCGUAAAGGGCGUGCAGGCGGUCUGUUAAGUUCGGCGUGAAAGCGCCUGGCUAAACCGGGCGAGGUCGUCGGAGACUGGCAGACUAGAGGGUGAUAGAGGCGGGUGGAAUUCCGGGUGUAGUGGUGAAAUGCGUAGAGAUCCGGAGGAACACCAGUGGCGAAGGCGACCCGCUGGGUCACACCUGACGCUGAGACGCGACAGCAUGGGGAGCGAACGGG